UUCCCCAGCCGAUGAGCAAAAGCCACCUUGUUGGUGGUGCUGUUCUUACAUCAGUCAGGGACAGAGCAGAUAGCAGUCCUUUGUUCAUCCGAGCUUGAUGCCUGGCUUGGUGGCCAAAGCUGUUUUAAGCCUAGGAUGCAUCA